ACUCGAGUUCAUUUGAUAAUCCCAAAGAGAUUUCAAUUUAUAGACUGUCCCUUAACAUGUGAUCACCUUUGUUGAAGCUCCAUUUUUGUUCAAUCUUUUGUCUUUUGUUUGAUUCAACAAUUAAUUAUCACUAUUGUGUUUCUAUUUAAUUAGUUAUUCAAGCCCUUGAUUGCAUUUUUAUGUUUUCAAAUUGCAUGGUUUGUCCAAUUCAAGUUACCAAUCCAAGUUAAUCUUGAAGAGGAUAAAAUAGGAAAGCCUUUUGAUCCCGAUUGGAUUUUCUGAUGUUAAUCGGACUAUUUUAGGUAUUUAUCUCAAUGGUCUGACAAUUCUUGAUUCAACAGCCGAGGAAAAUUGUCAUUAGAAAGGUGUGGUUACCGAGAUACUAAAAAAAUCUGUUACAUUUCAUCAGAAAGAAGGAUUCAUCAAUUGACUUUUUCUUCUUCCAUAUAACACACAACAACCCAAUGAUUACUCAAGGGGAAACAUUCACACUGAUUGUUGGGGUUGCGAGAUGAGCAAAUCUGCCGAGAUUUGAACAGAGAAUCAAAUCAAGAUUCAUGGUUAUUGUUAAUAUUGAUGAAUGAAUUCAUCUCAUCUUUCCAAGUAUUAUAUCAACUACAAUAUCAACUAUAUUACAUUAUACUUGUUCAGCCCACUUUCCUCUUUUUAUGUACGCCUCAUAAUAAUCAAUAGGCAAUCACAGCAGGUUAUCGUUUCCUAUUUCUGUCAUUUAAGCUGAAAAGAAAGGCAAGAAUAUGAGCAACUGAUGAUAAUUAUGAUGAUAUUAUUUGCUAUAAUGUUGAUAACCGCACGGAUUUGAAGAUACAGUUAAAAUGAAGAUUUGAAACAAAAAGGUUUACACAAAAUGGUAACAAUUUUACAACUUUUAGGUUAUUUAUCUUUAUUUAUUUAUCCCUUUUCAACUUGUAUCCCACUGAGCUGAACAAAAGUGCAGUUUCCUUUGUGAGUUGAAGAUGAACAUAUUGAAAACUAUUGGUAAAUAGCUUGAAUCAACUACUUCUAUGGAAACAUAGCAUUUCGCCUUUGAGCUUUGCCACUAUCCUAAACAAAAUAACUGUACCAUUAACUUGA